CUGUAUUCUUGUUAUCUUGAUUUUGCAGUGCCUAAGGGGACAUCAAAUAAUGCGAUUAUUGGUCUGUCUUACGCUAUCACAAAACAAAUUUUACAGUUUAUUGAAUAACUGUACGUGGAAUUAUGACAAUAUACGAGUACAAAGGAUAUUAUAUUUUACUACACUCUGAUUUGCACAGAAACAUGGUCCAAGACUGGCAGCCCAAUCAUGACUGAUGUAUCUGCAUCGACAACACCCAAAGUGUGCAUGGACACCCAUCCUUGUGCCUUAUAUAUAGAAAGGAAGAGAUUUGUAGAAGGAGUGGACCAUUCUAUCAAUGGUCUGAGAAAAAUUGUCCGCUGUACUGUGGAUUUUGUCAGGAGCCAACUAUAACUGUACCCUGCGAGGACAAACUUUCUAACUGUAAUCAAUAUGGUCAAGAUAUGUGUACCAACAGUCGUCACAUUUUAU